GCCAGAGCCAUAUCUCCCUGCAGUUCUGGCCUGGUUUCCCACUGAAGUUAAGUGGGGUUGAGCCUGGUGAGUACCUGGAUGGGAGACCUCCUGUGGAAAACUAAGGUUGCUGCUGGUA
rnacentral:rRNA from 1 species